AGUUAAUGAACUUGAUAAAGUAUAUAUUUUGAAAAUAUAAUAUAAAGACUAAACUCUUUAUUAACUU
rnacentral:tRNA from 1 species